rnacentral:rRNA from 1 species
UACAGAGGUCUCAAGCGUUGUUCGGCUUUAUUGGGCGUCAAGGGUGCGUAGGUGGCUUGCAACGUUAUCAGUGGCAAAUCGAGGCUUAACCUCGCGGAAACUGGUAAUACUGUUUGGCUCGAGUGCAGGAGAGGUUAACGGAACUCUAUGUGGAGCGGUAAAAUGCACAGAUAUAUAGAAGAACACCAAUAACGGCGAAGGCAGUUAACUAUUCUGUUACUGACACUGAGGCACGAAAGCGUGGGGAGCAAAACGG